AAGGAUACGAAUAUAAAAAGAUUUUUUACUUCUUCCUUUUUACGAGAUGAAAGAGGUAAAUACAAUUUGGCAUUUCCGAAAACCAUAAACUAUGUGUCACAGUUUCUGUGACAUUGACGUUAGGUACCUCGUGUUGUUAUUGCUUUUUGUUUUAAAUAAAAUGUUAAUAUUAGACUACACAGCGAUAUUAUUGAUUUCCAUGAAUAUUAUACAAAUGCUAAACUUCAUGAGCUGUACGAUUUGAUGAGAAAUUACGAUUUAAUCGAUAUCACAUUAAUGACCGAAGUUGAGGAAAAGCGUGACAAUGAAUCAUGUUUGAUUGAUGAAACAAUAUAUGAAGAUGAUAACGUACACUGGCCUUCUAUUAUAGAACUAAACAAAACAGAGUACAACAGAAUACAAGCCUUUCUAAGAGACACUGCUAAAAAACCUGAGGCAGGUAACAAAGUUACAAAAGACUCAGAGGAACCUCAACCUGAAAAUGUAGAACAUAAAAAUCAACAUUGUGAGUGCAACAACUAAAAGAUUAUAAGACUAUAUAAUACCAAGAAGAAAAUCGUAAUCAAAGAAAAGAACUUCAAAGUAAAAAAAAAAAAAAAAAGAUGAACAUAUUCAGUAUUUUUGUAGGGACCUUAAUAUUCUUUGAAGUGGCAUUUAUAUUGGCGUUAUUAAAGCCAUUUAAAGAGCCGUAUUUUAUAAGAGACUUCUGGUGCAACAUUCAAGAAAAUUCAAACAAUGCUUCAAAAGCAGCUGUUGUGCUAUUACUUUUUAUGAUGUUCAAUACGUUAUUGGAAAUUUUCUCUGAGAAAAAAUACUACGAUAGCUUAUUAAAUCGAAUCAAAGACGAGAGAUUGAUAUUAAAUUUUUAUUUAAGCAAAAUGACCGUGAGCUAUGUUUGCUUGUUUAUGAGCUUUUAUUUAUUGAUUUUAAUCGAAAGAUUAACUCAUUUUUUUAUUACUAUCGCCCGACUAUUGGAAUUUGAGCUGAUGUGCCGUCAUGCGAUAUUGACUCGGGAAAAUGCGCAGGAAUCAUCGAGUUCGACUAUAUUAACGACGAAAGAUGAUCUUUGAGUAACUAAGUAUACGUAAAGCUAUAUUUUGUAAAAUUCUUCUUCAUUCGGCAACGCGAAGGCACUUACAUUCGUACCUUUUUGCAUAUUGUAACCGACUUGAGGUUCCCAUAUAUUUAUAUUUUUCCAAAAAUAUCUUAAUUUUGAUACCGUUUUUUCUAAAUUUGAUUAAGAUGUAAACAAUAUCUUAAAUUGUAUUUUUGCUGCUUAUCAAUUUAAACAAGGCUGGUGUUUGUCUUUACCAAUUAAAUUGAUACCUAACGUCAAUAUAGACGUGGUUUAAUUUAAAUAAAAAAAUAAUAAAUA